AGAGUCAUAUUCGUGAGAUGGCUAUGUCUGUUUAGGACGUUGGAGAGUUCGAUGUGAUCAGCACCGGACUUGGUGGCAGAUGCCGUCGUUUGGAGUUUUUGCGCAAAAUAUGUGUUAAAAUGUUCAUCAUUUUUUUUUUGACGGAGUGUCCGUUUUUGUCGUUCGGAAGAAGUAAUUGUCGAGGAAUCUCUUGCGACGUCUCGCGAUGCCAAAGGCU
rnacentral:lncRNA from 1 species